rnacentral:rRNA from 1 species
GGUUGAAAUGAUAUGAAGAACUUGUUCAGAUUUGAUUUUCAACAUUGCAAUGAGUGGCGAACGGGUGAGUAACACGUGGGAAACCUACCUCUUAGCAGGGGAUAACAUUUGGAAACAAAUGCUAAUACCGUAAUAAUUAAUUUAAAACCCGCAUUGGGUUUUAGUUUAAAAGAUGGUCUUGCUAUCACUAAGAGAUGGUCCCGCGGUGUAUUAGUUAGUUGGUGAGGUAAUGGCUCACCAAGACAAUGAUACAUAGCCGAGUUGAGAGACUGACCGGCCACAAUGGGACUGAGACACGGCCCAUACUCCUACGGGAGGCAGCAGUAGGGAAUCUUCCACAAUGGACGAAAGUCUGAUGGAGCAACGCCGCGUGUGUGAUGAAGGGUUUCGGCUCGUAAAACACUGUUGUAAGAGAAGAAUGACAUUGAGAGUAACUGUUCAAUGUGUGACGGUAUCUUACCAGAAAGGAACGGCUAAAUACGUG